GAGAGAUGAUGGUGGGCACGGCAGCGGCGGUGACAAUUGCUGAACGUAUGGAAUCAUUUAUGAUGCAGUGAUGGAACAUUUUAUCUCUGGGAGACAAUCGGAACCAUGGUCCUCAAAGAAUGGCUUUGUCACGGGAGCAACAUGGGAUCCAGAUGGCUGUAUGGUACUUGUUUCUUUUUCGGAGUCAUCAUCAUUAAGGUUCCAUUCACUUUACAUCCAAACCUCCAUCGCUAGAUGCACAUCUUAUACCAGUUGAAUUGCCAGAGAUAAAAUUGUUGACCGACAGCCAGGUCAUUGAGAAGAUAGCAUGGGAUGCUUCAGGAGAGAGAUUGGCGGUGUCAUAUAAAGAUGGUGAUGAGCAAUACAAGUGGAUUUUGCUGCACCUACCCUCUUAUAUUCCGUUCAAAUAUUCUACCAUAGUUGAGAGAAGUCAAAAUGUAAAUUACCAGAGCUGAGUGGCUGUGCCCAAGCAACAUUACGGUUAUGCAGAGAUUUUUGUGUUUUGAAGUCUUGUUGAUAAUCUGCAUGCAGCGAUCUUGUGAGUUCGUCGCCAAGGAACUGAAAUUUAACAGUCUAUGAACUUGAUACAACAUAUUUACAGUUUUCUGUAUUUUCCCUUUUAAGUGUACUAAGUUUUAUUGUCAA